UAAGCAGCACCACCAAAAUUAUCGUCUCCUCCACGUUCCUUCAAGGUACACUGCCCGCACCUUCAGGGAACAGGAUUGCAUCAAGAAUUUGGCAAUUCAAUUUACGAAUCAGUUGUGUACGAGGCGUUACACCCCUUGAAUUGGUUUCGUUGCCAGUGUUCCUUGUCAAACCGUGCGCUGUAGAUUUACCAUUUAUGAUAGAAAACUAUAGCUAGCAGCAGCUACACACUGGCAUAUAUGUGCUGAUAUCACUUUCCCGACCUUUCGCUAUUUUUUACAGUCUCUGUUCCUUAGUUGUAGAUGCUUCCCCUUGAAAUUACUUCAGGUCUCUUAACGUUACAGUUUAUGUUCCAAAGCAAGUAGCUAGCAAUUCAUGCUAACGUUUUCGAUAGAAAAUAUGGGUUACUAAUAUUUUUUUGUAAAACAAAAACAAACAAAAAAACCGGUAGUCAAGCUAACCCCCUUUUAGCCUAUCAGAAGUGAAAAAUAUGGAAGUCCUGCCUUUAAUCGAUUUUGAGUGACACUUCUUGCAUACACUGCGUGAGCGUGGUCAGCGGAGAAAGUGGGACCGAAAAGGCAAAAAACAUUCCGUGAGUAGAUCGUGCACAGAGAAGUUCAUAAUUUCAUCAGAACAUGAUAUAAAUCACUGAAAUUUACCAGAUUAAUUGUAGGAAGGUUUAUGCCCACAGUUCAACUACCGUGAGUCCGUCUGGAGCCCCGGUUUCAUAUUAUUUUGUUCUUCGUGAGUGAGUUCGCUUCAGCAUUCUAACAUGUCCACUCUUUAAUGUGAAGGAGGCUAGCUCCGGUAAGCGGCGUUAAGUUAAAUUCAUGCUCAAUUCAUGAAAUAGUUAAAUUAAGUUGUUGAUUUGAGCUGCCACAGUAUAAAUGUUGGUACAUGUAUUUAGUAGAACGUGUGUAAUGUUUACCAUUUGACAAUUUCGUCGAAUUAACAGAGCCGUUCAUGGUUUUGUAAUUUGAGCUAUGCUAAGCGAAGGCCACAUAAAAAUAAAAACCAGUAUCGCAUUUAUUUUGUUAAAACUAGAACAUGUUUCAUGUUGGUGAUUAACUUCUAUGUUAAUAUAAACCGAGUUGAAGCACUUAAUAUAGCUGAAUAAGCUAACUGAGUUUAAGCACUUAUUCCAGCUACAAGCUAUAAGUGCUCUCACUGUAAUGUAUUUCAGGGUAUUUCAUGUGUUAAAAUGAACUGCGAAUUCAUUUUACAGUUGAAUAGUAUACUGUACAGUUAAAGCAGAUGUUAUUUUGAGCUGAUACUUGAACUUAUUGAACUAGAUUAUUGAACUAGGGUAUAACAGAUAAAGGGCCUAUAAAUGUUAUUUACCGUAGUAUUAUGUUGUAUGCAGCGGAAGACUGUAAGCCCUGAUUCGUAAUACAGGUCAGGUCUUUUGAACACCCUGGUCUUUUGAGAAGACCCUGGUCUGUGUGAUCCUGUGAUUGUGAUGACCCUUGGUAGGGAGUCCAGUGUUAAUGAAACCAGUCUAUGGUUGAUCCACAAUUUGUGAUGGCGAGACACCCAGCUUGAACUUCAUUGACAACUGCACGCAGAGGACAGAAGCAUCAUCUGCCGGAAAGACUGAACUUCUCAUUGUCACUACGGUGUGACAGUGGUGCUUUCCAUUAAGUGAAAGUGAAGCUACCCAUCAGCAGCUAUUUCCAGCAAAAAACAAAAAUAAAACAAAGCAAAGCAAAAAAAAAACAAAAAAACAAAAAAAAAAAAACAGGACGUGAAAAGGGACCAUUGAAUUACAGUGCUGAACAUCGCAGCUGGGACAGUCUUCUUGCUUCACUUGAAAAGUGGAUAAAGGGUAUGAAUGGAAUGUAUGGAAUUGUAGUCCUAUUGUCCCUACAAUGAUCAUUAUCUAUUUGCUAGGCAGAUACUCCCAUCUACUGUAAGGGGACUUGAAUUGCUCACAUCUCAUUGCAUUGUUUGACUGUGGCAGUUUUAUGUGACCAUUCAUUUUUUUGUGUGUGCUGAUAAUAUCUCCUCACAUCCCUGAGUCAUACUUCAUCUGCUUUCAACAACAACUUUCUCCCGCUGUUGAUUUUGACCUUGUCUGAAAGAAAAAUGUUUGUUCCCGAACAAACCUCUUUAUUUGAAUCGCCAUUUUACAAAUAACAUCUCAUCUGCAAUAUAUACUUUUUUAGAUUUAUUAGGCUGCUUUAUUAGUUUGUAAUUAACACUGAAUUAACUGUUUUCUGAGAGAAAGAGAGCUAAUGUCAAAUGAACACAAUCUGUAUUUCAUCCAUAGCUACUUAGGAUGGGUUACCUUCUGUAGGAUACACAUGUCCUUGCAUUGCAUAAAGUGCAGUGCAUACCACAUUCUCAGUUUAUUUGAAUACAUAUAUCUGAACAAUGGGAUAGCCCAGUGGUUAUCUUCCACUCAGAAGGAAAGUUUGUGUCUACCUUCAUGUUGAUUGUGGUGGAAAUGUGUAUGCACAGGUCGAUAGGAACUGGAAAAAUAAAAUAAAAACAUCCCUGAACAGCAUAUUCACAUGACAGGAAAUGUGAAUGAAGUAGAAACAGACCCAGUCCUAAGGUAUAAUCACCCUGGUGCAUAGCACUUUUGAUGCAGUAGAUCAGAGAAAAUUAACUAUGCAGAAACUCAGAGUGGAAGAAGACCCUCAGACAUGACUCUAAGGCCAGCACUGUAUUAAAUAUUUUAAAAAGUUGGAAUAGGAUUCUUGUACUUUAACAAAAAAUAAAAGUUCAGGAAAUUAAAAGAAGUUCCUCUGUUAAACUUUAUCAAUCUGGCCAGUGACAGUAUUUCAGGAGUACACAGUUUAGCCCACUCUUGUUGCUUCUUUCUCCUAAAGUGAAAUGAUAUCUGGUCUCAGCGGAGAGUAUAACCUGUUUCCUUUUCACUGACAACAUUUUCAGAGUUCAGUGAACUGUAACACUCAUCACAUGGUGUUCUUUGUUUUGUAAUUGUAAUUUUUAUAGAUAUAUCGCAGUGUCAGUCUGCCAGUUUUUUUUUUUAGCAGAAGGCACAUUUUAUUUCAAAAGUUGUCUGAUCCUUUUGAAAUGUAAAAAAGGUAGGCUAAGAAAAAUCACAUGUAAUGUUCUGUAAUUUGAAGGUAUAGUUCUGUCAUUUGAGAGUAAUUUCUGCAGCAUUUCUAAGCAGCACACUUAAUUUCCAUUGGACAGGCAUGCCCAUUUGGACUUUCUACUUAGAGGUACUGUAGUAAUCUUAAGUAUAAAUUGUAUAGUAGUAAUUGUAUACUAUGCAGAACACAUUGACAUUGACAUAUGUUGUUACAGUGUGUUGCUAUAUAGGGCUUGGAUAUGCAGGUUUUAUUAUACUUUGUCUUUGCUGCCUGAGAAAAGGAAGUAGAGUAAUCGAGGCUGCAGAACCUUAUUUUGGUGAACAAGCAAAACAGUAUGAUUUAAGCUUAAACUUGGGUCUGCAUGCCUACAUUUUUGUGGUAACAUUUUACAUCAAACGUAGUGCACAUUAGUGUAAACCAAAAUGGUUGACAGAAAAAGCUCCCUUUACUUGGAAAAUAUCUACCUAGAAAUUACAGUAACUUGUCAUUGAUCUCUAUGCAAUUGGGUGGAAGCAAACUUUUCCUAAAUGAGAUGCAUAAGUACACAUGACUGUAUCAGCUUUAAUGGGCCAAGGUAAGGGCCACUUUUAAAAACUGCAUAUUAAUCGAACUGGAGUCACCUUGAGUAGAUGUUAAAUUGCACCUUUUCAGGGGAAAAAAGUCAAGUGUGUUUAAAACAAUUUCAGGGAAAAUUCAACACAAACUGGUUUCAAUCAAUACCAAUCAUGGCUUCUUUGAUUGCAACAAAGGCUUGGUUAAGUGGCUGACCUAAGAAGUACACUGCCCAGUUGAACAAAAUAAAGCACAGCCUUUUGGCAUGGUUAUGAAACAUUUCAGAUAGUUUUGUUUUCUUAUAUUUUGAUAGAGCCCCUGCCUUUAGGCAUGAAAGUUACUUAACUUUAUGCAUAAGUUCUAGGAUAGUUUUUUAUGUUAAAAAAUGGCUCAGUUUAUUUUAUAGUCUCUGCUCUUACACACUUUUAAAUUCAUGUUAUUGCCACAAAUGUAUUAAUGUGUUCAAGAAACAUAACCUGAAAACAAGAUUCUUGAUUCAGCUUCCACAGGGUACAAGGUAGUUUAUACUACAGCGUUUAGUGUUUCCCUGGGCAGAAUUGAUUGUUUAUACCCCUUGUAGAGUGCUUUGACCUUCUGGUAUUACUCAUACUGUAUAUGUGUAUGAAAUUCCUGUUAUGUAGUCAGGUCAUGCUCUGUUUGGUUGACAUGGUAGUAUUCCUUGGCGUUUAUAGAGUUGGAUGCCAUAAGCCUUUUUCAGUUCAGUGAUGUCUACAGAGAUUUUUACUCAACUUCAAUUCCACCAUAAUUUUCUGUACUCAUUUUUCAUACAGGAAUUUCAGCUUGAAACUAUCUUAGAUAUUAAAUGUUCAAGCUAUAUCCAUCAAGUUUAUUUGUUAAAGCAAUGAGUUAAAUAUUGAUGGUUAGCUAACUAUUUCAGAAACAUAGCUUUUUGAUAGCUAGCAGGCAAGCUAUCAAAGCUAUUGAAUGAAAUAAAAUCAAUUUUAUUUGUAUAGCAGUUUUUUUUUACAGAAAAUGGUCACAAAGGGGCUCUGCUGAGUGUCAGAGAAGUACAAAAACAGAGUAAAAACCAGGCCUGAACCUGGAAGAAAUCUCAGGAGGAACCUGACUAUAGAGUGAGCCCAUCCUCCACUGGCCAGCUUAGUGUAAAGUAAUGGUAGAUUGGAUGUAGCAGAAAUGUAAUAAGGGAUCGAUCACGGCAAAUAGGAUGGGUUGCGCAGGUUACAGUUGCGGUAAUAAACUAACUGGAGUAGUAGAAGUCCAAAUUGUAUACUUCAGUAUAGUGCAGUUUAGAGGGGCAAAGCGAUACAUCUGGAGCAAGGCACGGGUGUGAAGGUGGGGUGGAACAGGGCUGCAGCGGACUGCGACCAUGGAGUGAGGGCAGGGCAGCAACAAUCCCGUGAACUUGCGGCAAGGUACAAGGCUGGAGUAGUCCGUGAACUCAGGGCGAGGGAAGGGCAGGAGACUCAAAAGAAAGAGAGAAGAUGAGGUUCGGCACAAUAAAGUUUGUCACCACACAGAGUAAAUGUCUCUGGGCCAAAAAA